rfam:Hordeum vulgare subsp. vulgare, WGS project CAJW01000000 data, contig: morex_contig_48054
AAAAUACUCCCUCCGUCUCAAAAUUAUUGUUUUAGAUUUGUCUAGAUGUGAAUGUAUCUCUAGUCACAUUUUAGUAUUUAGAUACACUCAUUUCUAAACAAACAUAAGACAAGAAUUUUGAGACGGAGGAAGUAGUAA